rnacentral:rRNA from 1 species
GACGAACGCUGACAGAAUGCUUAACACAUCAGCAAUUGAUUGGUGGCGGACGGGUGAGUAACGCGUAAAGAACUUGCCUCACAGCUAGGGACAACAUUUGGAAACGAAUGCUAAUACCUAAUACUGUGAGAGAGGUUUGCGUCCCAUUAGCUAGUUGGAGAGAUAACGGCUCACCAAGGCGAUGAUGGGUAGCAGGCCUGAGAGGGUGAUCGGCCACAAGAGGACGGAGACACAGCCCUUACUCCUACGGGAGGCAGCAGUAAGGAAUAAUGGACAAUGGACCAAAGGCUGAUCCAGCAAUUCUGUGUGCACGAUGAAGUUUUCGGACUGUAGAGUGCUUUCAGUUGGGAAGCGGUACCAACAGAAGAAGUGACGGCUAAAUACGUGCCAGCAGCCGCGGUAAUUC